GGAGUGGAGGGAGAACCGCGACAGGAAAUGAGCUCGAACGCCCAAGCCACAGAGAGGGCGGCUCCCUGCCGGCGCUGCAGGUGGGGUGCAAGUUCCUGAAGCACGGAGAGCUCACUCCGGCCUCCUAUAUGUAGCGUUAGGCCCUGGAGAACUUGAACACAGCGCUUGAUCAGAAAGGCUUUGCACGAAAUGCUUCUCUGGCAUUUGUGCUGGGGCAGCUACAAACACGGACAGUCGAUGUUUGCUGUAUCAACGGUGCCAGCAGCCCCCCACCGCGCUUGCCAAGGCUGAGGUGAGCGAGAAACACCCUCAAGACCCUGGAAGGGGCCCCGGCUCUAACAGCUGCACUAGCUCCAGGCACGUCACUUCCUUGCUGGGUCUCCGUUUCCUCAGGGAGUUGUGGUGAGGCUGAGAUACGGACACGUGCGAAGUGCCGUGUAAAUUGUGACGUGCACAGGUGCCUAACAACAGCCCAUCUGCCUUCUUCCUGCCUGUCCUCUCUGGUGACUUGAGUUAUUGGGAGAGGGCUAGCCGAGGUGUUCAUUGGUGUCUGUCCAGUUCAUGAUGACCCUUGUUUCUCCCGAGGCAGCACAGUAGAGCUAUGGAGAAUACUGGCUGUGUGACCGUCGGCAAGUUACUCAACUUCUCUGUGCCUCAGUCCGACAUCGGCAAAAUGGGAGUGAUGGUAUUAAUACCUGCCUCGUGGGUUUGUCAUGAGGAUUAAACAACGCAUGUGAAGUUCUCAGUCCUGUAAAUGCCUGGCACCUGGUAAGUGCUCAACGGGAAUCAGCUCUGAUUAUGCCCCACACCUGGGUGAAAUGAAGCAGAACUCAGCAAAGGGGCACUGCUGGUUCUUGUUGGCGUCCCAGUGCCCAGACAUCCACCUUUAGGUUCCUUCUGCUUCCUCAUCCUCUUUCCAAUGAACUGCCUAUUUUUUUUAAUUCUUUUUUUAUUCCUUUUUUUAAAUUCUUUUUUUUUUAAUUGAAGUGUAGUCAAUUUACAAUGUUAGUUUCAGGUGUGCAGCAAAGUGAUUCAGUUAUACAUAGUCUCUAACACCGUAUACAAAAAUAGACUCAAAAUGGAUUAAAGACCUAAAUAUAAGACCGGAGACUAUAAAACUCCUAGAGGAAAAUAUAGGCAGAACACUCUUUGACAUAAACUGCAGCAUUUUUUUUUUCGAACCAGCUCCUAGAGUAAUGGAAAUAAAAGCAAAAAUAAACAAAUGGGACCCAAUUCAACUUAAAAGCUUUUGCACAGCUAAGGAUACCAUCAGUAAAACAAAAAGACAACCUACAGAAUGGGAGAAAAUAUUUGCAAAUGAUGUGACCAACAAGGGACUAAUUUCCAAAAUAUACAAACAACUUUAUACAGCUUAAUAUCAAAAAGAAAAACAAGCAACCCAGUCAAAAAAAUGGGCAGAAGACCUAAAUAGAUAUUUCUCCAAAGAAGACAUCCAGAUGCCAGCAGGCACAAAAGAUGCUAAAUUUCAUUAAUUAUUAAAGAAAUUCAAAUCAAAACUACAAUGAGGUAUAUCACCUCACAUCAGUCAGAAUGGCCAUCAUUUAAAAGUCUACAAAUAAUAAGUGCUGGAGAGGGUGUAGAGAAAAGGGAACCCUCCUGCGCUGUUGGUGGGAAUGUAGUUUGGUGCAGCCAUUAUGAAAAACAGUAUGGAGAUUCCUUUAAAAAUUAAAAAUGGACUUAUCCUAUGAUCCAGCAGUCCCACUCCCGGUCAUAUAUCUGGAGGGAACUCUAAUUUGAAAAGAUAUAUGCACCCUAGUGUUCAGAGCAGCACUAUUUACAACAGCCAAGACAUGAAAACAACCUACAUGUCUAUCGACAAAUGAAUGGAUGAAGAAACUGUGAUAUAUUUAUACAAUGGAAUACUGCUCAGCUAUACAAAAGAAUGAAAUAAUGCCAUUUGCAGCAACAUGGAUGGACCUACAGAUUAUCAUAUUAAGUGAGGUCACCAGCACCCAGGUGCCCCUGGGACCAACGCCACUGCUUCCCGGUUUGAGCACUUCCAGAGGCAGCAUGGAUGACUCAUAAGCCUCCUUUCCUUGUUCGCAGCCCAGGCCUCCUGUCAGCUCCAUCCAGGCUGUGCCUCGCCCUCGGCCCGGUGAGCCUCUUCCACUGGACUCUGCUGGUCAAAGCCCAGAGCUGCCUCCUGGGGUCUGCAGCACUGGCAGCCUCUAGACCCACACCCUCCCACCACCCUGCCCCAAUCUCUGGUCAUUUCCUCCUUCAGGAUGCAGACGGGGCUUGCAGGCCAUUGUGUAAACACCCAGGCAAGCCUCCUGGGUCCUGUCACCAAGACAGAGAAAAAAGGGAGGUGUUCAGAAUUUUCAAAUGUGAGCAGAUCCUGAAGAGAAUUCUUUAUUAAGCAUCUUUCAGCAAAGAAGACAUUCCAGUGGCCACAUUUGAGUAUUUCUUUUCAACAAAACAGAAUGACUCAAUGAAGUCUUUCUUGCUGAGCAGAAUUAUAUCCUCAGCAUCUUUCUCAACCCAGUGCGUCAGAAGGCCAGAGCUAACCAAAGGAUUUUAUUUGCCAGUCCUGUAAAGCCGAGGCCCCUCCACCGCGAACCUCAGCUGGGUUGGUCCCAGCUCUCACCGGGACGACAGCCACACCCCUUAACCCUCCCGCUGCCUCCAGCCUUCCUCACUCAGUUGCGAGUCUGAGCCUCCUGUUCCUUCUCGCCGGUGAUGAAACCUUGUCUACAGCAGGGGGCGGCAGACUUUCUCUGUAGAGGGUCGAAUACAAACAUACUCAGGCCUUAAGGUAAACUCGGCCAUCCUAGUGUGAAAGCAGCCCAGGUUGGGCUGUGUUCCAAUAAAACAUCAUUUACAAAAACAGGUGCCAGGCUGGAUUUGGCCUGUGGGCUGCAGUUUGCCAAGCCUGAUCUACAGAAGAAGACGCAGACAGUCAGCAUGCACUGAGACCUCUCCAGGGCCUCACUUACUGCCCAGACGCUGAUGCCUCCAGAUGCACGCCUCCAGCUGGACCUCCCUGCAGAGCACGAGGCUCUCACCUCCAGCAGGUGUCCACACCCCAAAGCCGCAUUAGUUGCUCAUGCUCAGGUCCUCCACCCCUGAGCUCAUGAUUUCUGUUCCCACAUCCCUCUCUGUAAGAUGGCAUCUCAGGGGGACGUUUUUGGAGCAUCCUCCCAGUUCAUAACAAGCCCCUUAGCCACAGACAUCUGUCCACUUCCAGCUGUUUUACCCCCUUCACCCAACUGGACCCCCACUGGGCCACUGCCUGCGACUCAGCAGGACACCUCUGCUCAGGUGAGCAUGAGCCCGGCUGGCCAUUCAGUCUCUUCCUGGGCAAUUUGGAACUGGGUGGUGCUGGUGUUUCUUCAGGCGAAUUGGCUUAUGGUGCAUGGAUGGGAGCUAUGGGAGAGGCAUUUUCCACCAACCGGGGCCUGGGGAAGCAGCAAGAGUUGGUCUGGGAGAGAGAGAGAGCGGAGGGCUGCACAGGCAGGAUCAGAUGUGAGAAGGCUGGGCCAGGUCGUGCGCCCGUUGUACAGAUGUUGAUGAAGACUCCAAGGGAAGAGUGAUGUGGUCCCAGGGUCAGUAAUUCAGGUUUGCAGCCCUGACCUUCCUUCCCUCAACUCGGUCCCAUGCCCCUGAGUGCCUGCUCUCUGCCAGCAGGAGGGUCCCCCAGAUCACUGAAGCCCCAUCGUGCUUUGGGCGGUGGUGGCCCCCGCAUCUCUGCAGCUGUGCCCCUCCUGCUCCUGGGAGCUGCCCCUCCUUCCCCUCCCACAAAGGGGACAAGGGGGUUGAAAGCAGGGAUGGCGGGCUGACCUGCUGGGUCCAGGGUGGUUGGGGGCCAGGAAGUUCUUUAUCUUGGUUUCCACAGAACAAAGCUGGACUGCUCCUCUGGGCCCUGGGGUGGGGCGGGGAGGGGGCUCUGGCUUUGGGACUAAACAGUUUACCAUGUACUCUGGUCUGUUCUGGGAGCCCAGCAGGCCCAAGAUGCUGCAACCUGGACUGGCCCCACGGGCAGGGAGGGACCAGGGAUGGCCGCAGAGUCUCAGCAGAGGAGCAGGGUGUUUGCCAGAAAUCUCCAACAGGCCAUCUGCUCCCAGGGAGCAGAGCACAGUCUUGAGAGAGGAGGCCGGGUUCCCGAGCCUCAGGACUCUCCUAAGGGAGUUCAUUUUUUAUUUUUUAAAGGUUUGUUUUAUCAAUCUUUGAUCCAUUUGGGUUUUAAUAUGUUUGAAUGCAGCCCCUCUGGGCCUCGGCCAGCUGCUCCCCUGCCCCAUGCUGGCCCCCAGACUCCUUCUACAUCUUCUCAGACGUAGAAGGGAGAAGGAACAAACAGUGGAUGCCAGAUGAAGGAAGAAGCAGGUUGGUCCUCCAAUUCCUUUAACAGCAAUGCCAUCCCUCUCAGGUAGCUCUGGGCUGGGGCGGCGAGCCCCCACCUGCUGUCCCCUCACUCAGACACUCCAGGGCAGCCGAAGUGCCUCAGAGGAGGAGUGGAAUUACCUCCACAGCUGGGCCAAGGCACUGGCUGUGGUUCACAGCGGGGCUGUGAAAGCCCCAGCAGGUGGAGGAGAAAGACCCCGCAGGUGGAGGAGACCCACACGUUCUGUCUCUUUCACCCUGUAGAUGCUGACUAGCAAUUCAGCUCGGGAAGGUUUUGCUUCUGGAACAAAAAAACCCUUGGGUGGAGCCCUUGUUGAGGAAUCUGUCCAGAUCACAGACAUUGGAGUCACGGCUGGUACCUGGAGACAUCUGUGACCGGAGGAUCCUGUUUAAGAUGCUCUCUCCUGUUCUCACAACCAGGUGCUUGUUUUUAAAAGGAUCGUCUUCCAGGGUUCUCACACGGGUCUGCUCCCUGCCUCCUGCCUCCCCCUCACUCACUCCUCCUGACUCUGAUCUGAUGGCUCCCUCCUCUGACUCCCAGUGGCUGCCCUCGGUCCUCACCCCGCCUGAGGGCCGACACCUCCACCUUUCUCUUCUCCUGCUCCCAGGACUCAGUUCCCUGCCCCUUUCCUUUUACUCCCCGACUGGUCCCCACCUCCUUCCCCAGGCGCUCUUCCUCUGUGCCCCUCCCUAAGUACGGGAACUUCAGGUCUUCAUCCUCGUUUCUGUCCUCUUCCCACUAGACUCUUACACAUGGUCUCAUUCACUCCCAAGGAGAACAGAUAAAUUCAGUGAUGCCAAUAUCUGUCAUGUCCAGGCCUCCUCUCUCUAAAGCUGUUUCAUGUAACCCAUUGUUACGUGCAAUAUCUACUGGAUAUCCCAGAGGCAUCUCAAAUUCAUCAUGUUCCAUGUUGAACUGGUCCGCUCCCCCCUGAAUUCUUGUUCCUCCAUCCGUCAGUGUACUUCACCUCAGAGUGAUGUCACCGUCUCCAGCUCAGCCACCCAGAAGCCCGGGUGUUAGAGGAACUCACGCUUUAGAGUUGAACCACUGGGCUCAGAUUCCAGUGUGACCACAUCCUGUGUAAUCCUGGCAAGUUCCUGAACCCCUCUGUGCCUCAGUUCCCCAGAAUAAAAACAGUGCCCUUCUUAUAGCAUUACAGUGAAGAACAAAGGCGAUAUUCCAUGUGACGUGGCCACAAAGAUAGCACGCAGUAAGCACGAGCUGUUAUCACCUCCCUCCCAACAACAACACGCACACACUCGCCCACUGACUCAGUCCUGUGGGCUCUACCUCAUCUCCACAUUCAGACCCCUGUCCUCCACCCUCCUGGCCACAGCCUUGACUCAGACUUUGCUUUAUUGAGAUGUAAUUCACAUACCAUAUAACUCAUUCAUUUAAAAUAUAUACUCAGUGGUUUUCAGCCUAUUCACAGAGUUGUGCAACCAUCUCUACAACCAAGUUUAGACCAUUUUUCAUCAUCCCAAAAAGAAACAACCCUGGGCCCAUCAGCAGCACUCCUCACCCCUGUUCCCACCCUCAGCCCUGGCCAAUCCCUAACCUACUUCCUGUCUCUAUAGAUUUGCCUGUUCUGGACGGUUUCUAUGAGUGGAAUCAUACAAUAUGUGGCCUUUUGUGACUGGCUUCUUUCAAUUAAUGUGCUGUUUUCAAGGUACAUCCAUGUUGUCUCAGGUUAUUACUCCUUUUUAUGGCCAAAUAAUAUUCCACGGAGUGGGUCUAGCACAUUUUGUUUAUCCAUUUAUCACAUGAUGAUACAACAAAGAAUUGUUUCCACCUUUUGGCUAUGAUGAAUAAUGCUGCUAUGAGAUUCAUGUACAAGUUUUUGUGUGAACACAUGUUUUCAUUUCUCUAUGUGCCUAGGAGUCACACUCUAUGUUUAAUCUUUUGAGAAAUUGCCAAACUAUUUUCCAAAGUGGCUACACCAUUCUUUAAUCCUCUCAGUGUGUAUGAGGCUUCUCCUUUCUCCAUAUUAUUGCCGACACUUGUUAUUAGCUCUUUCUCUCUCUCUAUUUUUAUUUUUUUCACUAUAUCCAUCUUAGUGGGUGUGAAGUGGUGUCUCAUGGUGGCUUUGAUUUGCAUUUCCCUGAUGGCUAAUGAUGCUGAGUAUCUUUUCAUGUGCUUAUUAACCAUUUGUAUGUUUCCUUUGGGGAAAUACCUAUUCAGAUCUUUUGCCCAUUUUUUAAUUGGAUUAUUUGUCUUUGUAUUAUUGAAUUGUAAGAGUUCUUUAUGUGUUCUAAAAAUGAAUCAGUUAAAAGAUAUUUGAUUUGCAAAACUCUCUUCUGUCCCAUGGGUUGUUUUUGCACUUUCUUGAUAGUGUCCUUUAAUGUCCUUUAAAAGGGACAAAAGUUUUUAAUUUUGUUGAAUUAUGCCGAUUUAGCUAUUUUUCCUUUGGCUGCUUGUGCUUUUGGUGUCAUAUCUAAGAAACCGUUGCCUAAUCCAGUGUCACAAAAUUUAUGCCUAUAUUUUGUUCUAAAAGAUUUAUAGUUUUAGCUGUUACAUUUGGUUUUUUUUAAAAAUCCAUUUUGAGCUAAUUUUUGUACAUGGUGUGAAGUAGAGGUUCAACUUCAUUCUUCUGCACCUGGAAAUCUAGUUGUCUCAGCACCACUUAUUGUAAAGACUGUCCCUUCUCUUUUGAAUUGUCUCAGCACUCUUGUCAAAAAUCAUUGACUGUAAAUGUGAGGCUGUAUUUCUGGACUUAAUUCCGUUCCGUCAAUCUACAUUUCUAUCCUCAUGCUAUCUUGUUCUGUCACACAGUCUUGAUUACUGCAAAGAGUGAGGUUUGAAAUCAAAAAGUGAGAUUCCUUUUGAGAUUUCUGUUCCUUUUCAAGAUUGUUUUGGCUAUUCUGGGUCCCUUAAAUUAAAAAAAAAAAAUCUGAAAAAAAAAUCUGGGUCAGUCUCUUGCUUGAAGAUCUUUUCUAAUUCCCUUUGGACUGUGCAUCAAUUGUCACACUGGUUCUGGUUUCCUGAGACUCCCUCUGAGGAGUAGGCUGUGUGGGAGAGCCAACCGGGGCAGCCAGCCUGGGCUGGACAGCAGUUGUGCUGUUCCACUGAUGUCUCCAUCACUCCUGCUGAAAGGGUGGCUGAGUCACGCAUAUUUGAAUCACAAGCUGGGAAAGGUCAGGCAUUGACAGCCUGGUCUUGGUGGUCCAUGGGCCCGUAACGCACUUCUGGAUUACUGUGGGAACUUACUAAGAUGAGGAUGCCUGGGUCUCACCAUUCAGACGUGCACCUUGAGCAUCUGUCAUGUGCUGGCCAGACAGACAAGUCCUUGCUCUAGUGGACUUUUCACUCUAGGGCGCAAGGAAAGGCCAAUAAUGAACAGGAUAAUAUCAGAUCCCAUCAAAAUAACGGUAAUGGUGUGGAGAGUACUGGAAAGGCUACUUUAGGUCAGGCGCUGAGAGAACAUCUUUAGGAGAUAACUUUUCAGUGAAGAUCUGAAUGACCAGAGGGAUUCUCCCAUGGGAAGGUCACCUAGAGUGGCUGUAAGGCCCCCCUCCCCAGCCAGCCUCAGGCAUGGCCUGCACAUAAGGGUGUGUUAAGCUGACGUGAGCCACAUCCUCUUCCAGGAAUGACCACUUUCAUUUCAGUUGUCUUCUUGUUAUGGUCUCCUACUUGUAGGUGUUUCCGUGAUGUGACCUUGUUUUAUUAUUACUCACCAAGGGGUGGGGGAGCCGUUCACUCUCCCACUAGAACACACAGUCCCUGAGG